GGCGUCAUAGCUCAGCUGGGAGAGCAGCAGACUGAAGUGUACAACUGUCGUGUGUACAGUCAUCUGAAGGUCCCGCGUUCGAUCCGCGGUGCUGCCA